rnacentral:lncRNA from 1 species
AUCCUUUUGAAGAUAAAUUUAUCCAAUUAGAUUUUAGAUUUCAUACAGUCAAAUAUAUAGAAAGAAAGGAAAAAUAUUUAUUUUUAGUGACAGCUACUACUGCAGUGUUAUUUCUAAGGGAUCUCAAAGCUGGAUGUUAUUAUGUCAAGCCUACCUGAAGAGAGGAAAAGGACAGAUUUUCAUAUAUGAUUUUUUUAAUAAUGGAAUUUCUUAAAAGGAAUAUGGAGACUGCCUUCUUGAGUUGCAGAACUUAGGAAAAGCCAGAUUGAUGCCUGAGUUGUCUGUAGUGCGUCCAUAUAAGUCAACUUGAAAAACAGUCCCCCAGGCUUUUCUGGACAUGCACAUAUGCCAGGUACAGACAAUUUCCAAUAGCAUAACAAACUGUAUUUCCAAAGUCAGUGGAGACUUGGGUACGUUUUCCCAUUUCACUUAAGUGUGAGCAAGGGCCCGAGCUGAGUGAAAUACUGAAGUGUUUAAAAUGAUAGUUCUUUCCUACGGGAGCUCAUGAUCUAGAAGAGAGGAUAGCACUUAUGCAAAUAACAGGGGGCACAGUGUGAAGCGCUUUUCUAGGAGAACUACAAACUGUACUUUGGGAGAACAGAGGAGAAAGAUCACUUUUGGGUGCAACUGUUUCAGGGCUCUUUUCCUGUGUGCUCAGCAUGGGCAAAGGGAUCAGAAACUGCUGAACUGUCAGCAUUUGGGAAAGGAUGGCAUUUCCCUAAGUGGAGCCUAGGAAUAAAGAUUGCUGAGGCCUUGACAGCACACGAGUGAGCAGGUGAGAUAGGGUGGCAGUGACAGUUCAUGCUUGUUUCCUUAGUCAGCCAACCCACUCUUUUGGCAGGACCGAGCACCCAAGUCCUCCUCAUUGACCUUCCCUAACUACUGCUCCAAGCAGCAGCUAAUUGGUUAGGCCUAGAUAGUACAAGGUCAUUGAUUGGUCAUAGCUGGUGGGAACUGGUUUCAGUGGGCGACUUUCUAGUCAGGUGGAUUUUAUUGAGACAGUUAGGGUGUUUUUGGCUGGGAAGGAAGAUGGGACCUGACAUUUAAUUGAUGCUUAUCCCCAAAAGAAGUCAAUAAUAAGAGCAUCUCACUAGUCAGCCCAGGUUGCAGAACCUCACACUACACAGAGUGAAUGGUGUGUAAACACGCUGUGCCUGUGUGUCCAGGAUUUCUGCCGAGCACCAUUCCUAGGUGCUAUACCAAUGUAGCACUGGAUGUAAACCACUGUUUCUCAGAGUUUGUUUAUGAACCACUUGCAUCUGGAUCACCUGGCUAGCUUGGUAAAAAGGUACUUUCCUCAGCCUCAUUGCAGAAUCAGAAUCUUGGGGGUGGGAGCCUGGGAGCCUGCACCUUGACAGGUUUCUGAGGAGAUAAUUGCAGCCCUAGCUCAUCAUUUAUAUGUAGCAUGUUCCAGUCAUUUAUUUGCUGUAAUGAACUUUUAUAUCCUCCAGAUCAUCUCUUUGAACCUGUCAGUAUAAAGUGAAAUGUUCACUGUAUUCAUCAUUAUUUAUUUAUCUAUUUGGCCCAGCUUGUGCCAUGUGGAAGUUCCUGGGUCAUGGUAUAUUUAAGCCGAGUUCUGUUUUUAGGUUUCGCCUUGGAAUGAUAAUGGUGAUUAAGUUGGUGAACAGUGAGCAGGAUAUGGGUAGGCGAAAAGGUGGAUGGGCCCUAGGGUACCACCUGCUCUAGUUCAGUCAUUCCCAUAUGAAAACAAAGUGGGAUACAGUGUGUUAAAUGCUAGUGACCCGAGAAAUCGCUGAGCUGUGCAAAGAAGGGUGGAAGAGUGAUCCAACCUAGGGAAGACAUCGUUGGCAUGGAAUGACAUUUGAGAAAUCCACCUAGAAAAAUCAUUACUUAAGUGGUUAGGGAUGUAUAUGUGUUAGCCGGUUGAAGACUAAUACUGGAACUCUUAGAUUAGUUAAAACACAAUAGUAACAACAACAACAACAAAUCUUUUACGUAUGCAUUAUUUCCUUCUCCGUAUUGCAUAUGACAAAAUAUGAAAUCCUAAGUGGAAAGCUGAACUGUUACAUGCAGAUUUCAUCUAUUCGUUUCAGUUUUCUGGAGAACCACAUAAUGGGUCAGCCUUUUUUGAGUGCUUCGCAUUUAUGGGCUCUCUAUUUCCUUCAAGCUUUUUUUAUUCUUCAAGUUUCCUAACCUUCGAACAAAGUCCUGGUCAUCUCCAUUUUUGGAAAAAUUCUAAUACUCCAGUUUUAUAUAAGUUCCUUAUUCUCCUCAUUUCACUUUUUUCCUUAUUCUUCUCUUUUUCCCCCCUUUGUUUUAAGUUUCUGGGUCUAUCCAGCUGGUGACAGUGAAGAAGAAAAGCCUGAUCUCUACUGUAACAACUUUCUGGGGAAGUGAGUCAGAUCCUAGACAACCCUCAUUCUUCAGGGUUUUUUUUUUGUAAUUAAAUAAAUCAGGUCCUGCAUAAUGUAGUGCUUCACACAGUUCUGUUAUUCUGUGUACCAAACUGAGGUCCUUUUCCCUUCACCAUCUAUCCCAGAGCCCACGUUCCCUUUAGCCACUCUUAGUUUGUCACUUCAACACACACACUCACUUCCUUGCCACUUACCUCUUCCUCCAACCCAAACACACCCCCAGUCUUACUCAUGUUCCAAGAAUGUUUGAAAUGACUAAAUAUAUUGGUCAGGAGGACUCCGUCUAAGACCAUGAGGUCAGGCACUAGAGGCCUAAGAGAGUUGGGCUAAGAGAAAACCCAGUGACAGUGGCAUUAUUCAGGUUCCCUGGGUUGUCAUCCUGGGAUUAUGGUUAGAUUGGAGCUGCUGUGUCCUUGGAGAGAUCUGCUAGGGUAGGGUAGGUCACUUGAUUUAGAAAUUUAAAACUUUUAAAGCUAGUGUUUACUUAACACUUAUUGCAGAGCAGACACCAUGCUUUUCAGAAAUACUGUUUUCAUUUCAGCCUGCCAUCCUUAUGAAAUACAUUCAUUGUUUUACUGAUGAAGAAACUGAGACUUAGAUUAAGUAAAACUCCCUUUAGUUUCAUAUAGAGUGGUCUGUCGCUCUUCAAACAAAUCAUUUCACAGCAGUUUUUCUUAAUCUGCCUUUUCGAUGUACAUAGCUUUUCAUUGUAACAGCAGGAAGGUAAUACUGGAUUAGCGUAUUCCAGGGCUAACACACUGAGACUCCGUGGCUGUAGGUGCUGCAAGCAGGGUGUGGAAGAACUGGGACUCAGAGUAAGGACUCCUCUAGAAGACAAGCAGUGCAGAUGAAAUGAAUAGUCCCAGGAAACAUGCCUUAUUGUGAUGUACCUACAUGGAGGCUCUCUGGAGCCACGUGUUCCUUCCAGGGUCAAGAGGAGGAAUUUAUUUUGGCAGCACAGACCACCUGAACAGAGAUGGGGGAUAGGCCGGGGGGGGGAUGCCCCCACAUGAGAAUACUGUGUCCUAAGAGUCAGCAAUGUUCCCCUUAGAGGUCUCAUAAUUUUUUCCCAUUGUCUUUGUGUGUGUGUGUGUGUGUAAAUAACUUCUGAAAUUAUAAUUUGUAUGAU